AAUUGAAGAGUUUGAUCAUGGCUCAGAUUGAACGCUGGCGGCAGGCCUAACACAUGCAAGUCGAGCGGCAGCGACAACAUUGAACCUUCGGGGGAUGUGUUGGGCGGCGAGCGGCGGACGGGUGAGUAAUGCCUGGGAACAUGCCUUAGUGUGGGGGAUAACCAUUGGAAACGAUGGCUAAUACCGCAUAAUCUCUACGGAGCAAAGAGGGGGACCUUCGGGCCUCU
rnacentral:rRNA from 1 species